rnacentral:snRNA from 1 species
GAAUUUGCAGUUGUAGAAAGCAG